UACGUAGGGCGCAAGCGUUAUCCGGAAUUAUUGGGCGUAAAGGGCUCGUAGGCGGUUUGUCGCGUCGGGGAGUGAAAACUCAGGGCUUAACCCUGAGCCUGCUUCCGAUACGGGCAGACUAGAGGUAUGCAGGGGAGAACGGAAUUCCUGGUGUAGCGGUGAAAUGCGCAGAUAUCAGGAGGAACACCGGUGGCGAAGGCGGUUCUCUGGGCAUUACCUGACGCUGAGGAGCGAAAGUGUGGGGAGCGAACAGG
rnacentral:rRNA from 1 species